AGAGUUUGAUCCUGGCUCAGGAUGAACGCUGGCGGUAUGCUUAACACAUGCAAGUCGAACGGACUCUUCGGAGUUAGUGGCGGACGGGUGAGUAACGCGUGAGAAUCUGGCUUCAGGUUCGGGACAACAGUUGGAAACGGCUGCUAAUACCGGAUGUGCCCUUGGGUGAAAGAUUUAUCACCUGAAGAUGAGCUCGCGUCUGAUUAGCUAGUAGGUGUGGUAAGAGCGCACCUAAGCGACGAUCAGUAGCUGGUCUGAGAGGAUGAUCAGCCACACUGGGACUGAGACACGGCCCAGACUCCUACGGGAGGCAGCAGUGGGGAAUUUUCCGCAAUGGGCGAAAGCCUGACGGAGCAAUGCCGCGUGAGGGAGGAAGGCUCUUGGGUUGUAAACCUCUUUUCUCAGGGAAGAAUGAUGACGGUACCUGAGGAAUAAGCAUCGGCUAACUCCGUGCCAGCAGCCGCGGUAAUACGGAGGAUGCAAGCGUUAUCCGGAAUGAUUGGGCGUAAAGCGUCCGCAGGUGGCAAUGUAAGUCUGCUGUCAAAGCGUCUGGCUCAACCAGAUAAAGGCAGUGGAAACUACAUAGCUAGAGUAAGGUAGGGGUAGAGGGAAUUCCUGGUGUAGCGGUGAAAUGCGUAGAGAUCAGGAAGAACACCGGUGGCGAAAGCGCUCUGCUGGACCUUAACUGACACUGAGGGACGAAAGCUAGGGGAGCGAAUGGGAUUAGAUACCCCAGUAGUCCUAGCCGUAAACGAUGGAUACUAGGCGUUGCCCGUAUCGACCCGGGCAGUGUCGUAGCUAACGCGUUAAGUAUCCCGCCUGGGGAGUACGCAGCAACUGUGAAACUCAAAGGAAUUGACGGGGCCCGCACAAGCGGUGGAGUAUGUGGUUUAAUUCGAUGCAACGCGAAGACCUUACCAGGGCUUGACAUGUCCGGAAUC
rnacentral:rRNA from 1 species